UUGUAGAAGUGCUAGCACAGGCAGAAGAGAAAGGCGUUUGCAAGUCGGAAAAUGCAAAGGUUUUUUUGAAAGACUGGACUCUUCUUGAAGAAGAUGUCUUUCAAGAUGUAUUGAAGGAGCUUCCUCUGGACGACAGGAUCUUUAUAGUUGCUGAAGUUAUACCACCAGUGGAACAUGGUUCUUCAGGUAUCUCGCAAGCCGACUGCAUGACAAUUUUUGAAGAAGAAGUGAGCACACCCCAGUUCAACUUUCAUUUUGAGAGGCUGCCAAGAAGUGUUCAAGUCGCAUUAGAGGCACCUCAGGCACUUCCUCCCGGAGAAAGGAGAGAUCUUGUAAGGUGCAUUGCGCAUGACAUGAUGCAGGUGUCACCACGGCCUAGGAGAGAGUUCAUCCGCAGUGUUGCUGAGGCCGUGGUAAAGCGUUUUCCUGCUUGCCUUCAGGACCGCACAGUCAGUGGCAAGG